rnacentral:rRNA from 1 species
GUGGUAAUGCCGGAUGCUCCAGUUGAUCGCAUGGUCUUCUGGGAAAGCUUUCGCGGUAUGGGAUGGGGUCGCGUCCUAUCAGCUUGACGGCGGGGUAACGGCCCACCGUGGCUUCGACGGGUAGCCGGCCUGAGAGGGCGACCGGCCACAUUGGGACUGAGAUACGGCCCAGACUCCUACGGGAGGCAGCAGUGGGGAAUAUUGCACAAUGGGCGCAAGCCUGAUGCAGCGACGCCGCGUGAGGGAUGGAGGCCUUCGGGUUGUAAACCUCUUUUAUCGGGGAGCAAGCGAGAGUGAGUUUACCCGUUGAAUAAGCACCGGCUAACUACGUGCCAGCAGCCGCGGUAAUACGUAGGGUGCAAGCGUUAUCCGGAAUUAUUGGGCGUAAAGGGCUCGUAGGCGGUUCGUCGCGUCCGGUGUGAAAGUCCAUCGCUUAACGGUGGAUCCGCGCCGGGUACGGGCGGGCUUGAGUGCGGUAGGGGAGACUGGAAUUCCCGGUGUAACGGUGGAAUGUGUAGAUAUCGGAAAA